GAUCCUGGCUCAGGAUGAACGCUGGCGGCGUGCCUAAUACAUGCAAGUCGAACGCGAGCACUUGUGCUCGAGUGGCGAACGGGUGAGUAAUACAUAAGUAACCUGCCCUAGACAGGGGGAUAACUAUUGGAAACGAUAGCUAAGACCGCAUAGGUACGGACACUGCAUGGUGACCGUAUUAAAAGUGCCUCAAAGCACUGGUAGAGGAUGGACUUAUGGCGCAUUAGCUGGUUGGG
rnacentral:rRNA from 1 species